AUUAUUAAUGAAAUAUUUUUGUGUUUCUGCUAGAAAACAUUGGAUACUUAUAAUAAUGGAUUUUGAUCACCAAUUGUGCUAUUUCCUGGAUUCUCUUGACAAUUUUCAACCAGAUGAAAUCAAAUCUCACAUUUCUUGUGUCUUUCAACAUUUGCGCACAAAUAAUGCGAAAACUAAGGAAGUAGUGUGGAGAAUUGUUAAGUGUCCUCGUCAACAAUCAAAAUCAGUAAAAUGUGGAUACUAUGUUAUGAGGAUGACGAAAGACUUCGUGACAAAUGAGUUUUCAAUGCGAUGGAUAACUAGUAAAGUAAGUGAAAAUAUUUAUUAUUAAAGUUCUAGCUUCAUCUCAAGAUUAAGUAUAUUAAUUCAACUCACGCAAUGAAUUUUGUUUUAGUGUGGCGAGAAGAACUCUUACACAAAGGAUGAGAUCAAUGAAGUACGUGAAGAAUGGGCACAAUGCGUUAUGGAUUUGAUGAGUACUACAUAGGUCUACUCACUUUUGUUAACUUAGAUUUUUAAAAAGAUAUACUUAGAAUAACUUGGACUUUCUUUGAGAUACACACAUUUUUAUUAUCUAACUAUAGUUUACAAUGCUUAUAUGAGUAAUUUUGUAAUUAACUUGAGACUCAUCAUUAUUUUGGAUAUUUAAUUCAAAUUCUAAUAUUUUAUAUUACUGUGA